GAUGAAGAACGUAGCGAAAUGCGAUAAGUAAUGUGAAUUGCAGAAUUCAGUGAAUCAUCGAAUCUUUGAACGCACAUUGCGCCCGCCAGUAUUCUGGCGGGCAUGCCUGUUCGAGCGUCAUUUCAACCCUCAAGCCCCAGCGGCCUGGUGUUGGGGACCGGCGACCUCGCCCGAGCCCGCCCUCCGGGGCGCGUGCCCGGUGCGUCCGCCGCCCCCGAAAUGAAUUGGCGGCCUCGUCGCGGCCUCCUCUGCGUAGUAGCACAACCUCGCAAGCGGGAGCGCGACGCGGCCACUGCCGUAAAACGCCCAACUUUUUUAGAGUUGACCUCGGAUCAGGUAGGAAUACCCGCUGAACUUAAGCAUAUCAAUAACCGGAGGA
rnacentral:misc_RNA from 1 species